ensembl:lncRNA
CGUUUAACCGCAGCCCCCCGGUACAGAGCCGGGCGGCUCGGUUCCAUUUACCCCGACUCUCAGGUUGCCUUCUCGUUGGAAUUUUCCGUUCCACCUUAAAUGGCGCAGCAGUUAGCCUGUGUGAAGUCUGGGUGUGCCACCAGAAUGCAACUGCUGCGCCAUUUAAGGUGGAACGGAAAAUUCGGACAACAAGCUAACGCCAGCGCCCGGCUCGGUCCGCCGAGCAGCCCUGCUGGAGUUCCGUCGACCCGGUCAGCCACGCAGGAAGCCCAGUCCCUUUCAGCGAGGGCAGCGUGUGGGUCCAUCUCCGGACCGCGGCCCCCCUCGCCCUGAUAAACCAGCCCAGACUGCCUCGUUCCGCUCAGCACUUGCGCACUUUUCCAGUGUUUACACGUCAGUUGACGCCAGGGGGCGCUCCCGGGCGAGUCCGUAAUGAGUGGACUAAUCUGGAGCAUCUGAGCAAAAUAGUUAAACGGUUUUAAUAUAAAGGAAUACAUUAAUUUCCUGACCAAGCAUAAAACACUUCAACGCCACUGGUCUAUUUUUUUUUUUUUAGAGCUUUUAAACUCGAGUUGUAGGAGUUUAAAACGUCCAUGGGUUUGAACACUGGUCAGCCUGGUCAUGGCAGGGUCCUGUGAUGUGGGUGCCAGAUGGACGGGAUAUUCCGUUUCUGAAGUUGUGCGAGUAUUUAACAUUCCUCUAUCCAGUGUUGUGUGUACCAGGAAUACACCAUGAAAGGCACUACCCCCACAGUGGACAGCGCAGUGGAUGCUCACAGGUGCUUAACGAACGUGACUGGCGGCGUCUGACUAGAUCUGUCUGUGCAGACAAGCAACUCCCAGAAAUCACAUCCACAUUCGCUGCAGGAGGUCUCACACGCAUGUCCCACAGAUGAACCUCACUAGCUGCCUGUUGAUGGCCUCUCUGGGGCUCUUCCUAGUUCUAAUCCUUGGUAAGUAUGAUCAUGUCUUAAACAGUGGCUGGAAGGAAUAAAUGUGUUAAACACAAUGUACAGUGUCAUAUUUGCAGAUGUGGGUAGUUAUAAUUUAGAUGGAUUUGAGUUUGUCAUUAUGAUACAGUUUCUAAAGCUCCUGAUCUGCGACGUCUAACACGGUAACUUUACAACUUUGUUCAGAGCCAUGUUGGCCAGAGUGAGCGUCUAACUCCUGUGUCCCUUUUGUCCGUGUAAUUCACUCUCAAGUCGAGAUCACGAAACCAAGUCGUUCUUUGUAUUACGGGCUUUAAUCACACAAAGCAUGAUAGUGUGCCGUGAGAACUGUUAGACAUACAGAAAGAUAAAACAAAAAAAACAACUUAUUUCCACAUAAAGACUUCAAAGGAACAACACGACCGUACUGUUACAUGAAAUUCGUCACAUUACAUCUUUACACUCUUACAAAAUUACAGUAACAGAAAACAUUAAAUGUACCUCAUUGGCCGCUUUCCCUUGAGAGAAAAUUAGAAAUCUUCAGUCCUUAAACGCACUAUGCACUUUAUCCAAUCUUCCUUAAUCAUUGCUGAUCUUAGGCAGAGGAAUCAGCGAGGUGUCUGCCUGCUAGCUUGGUCCAGCAUGUUACAAGUAUAACCCUCAAAAGUAACACCCUAUCAACCCGCGGCAGCAAACUUUGGUUCCCCCCUAUCAAAACAAACAAUAUACAUGAAAUAUAUGAAAUUAUGCUUCUAAUAUUUAACUAUUUUACUAGAAAUGUAUGUAUUUAUGAACUCUAUAUUUUUUAACCUAAUAUUUAUUAAUCUAUUAUUUAUUUAUUUAUUCUGACUUCGAUGGCAGCUACACUCCCACCAAAUCACUUGUGAUUUUACUCAAAC